UGGUGAGACCGUGCGUCCAUCGCUCCAUCCAUCCCUGUUUCCCAGCGUGUGCGCCCCAGAUGGGAGCCAGGAGCAGACGUCCAUGCAGACUUCAGCGCGGUUGCUGGGCAGGCUGCUGGAAGCCACCCUGUCCCCCGAGUGUCCUGCCUGAGGAAGCUCAAAAUAUGUGCUGUCUGGCUCGCUGUAAUAACACAGAGAGAAGCCGCAUCAAUCACGAACGGAUACGAGGGUGCUCCACAAGUGCUCAAAGGUUGUUCCCUCAUCAGCGGUGGACGGCUGGGACAUCUUGGAUGUUGGACAAUCCACCGCAGGGCAGAUUACACUAAAAAUC